AGACUGGGAUAACUUCGGGAAACCGGAGCUAAUACCGGAUAAUAUUUUGAACCGCAUGGUUCAAAAGUGAAAGACGGUCUUGCUGUCACUUAUAGAUGGAUCCGCGCUGCAUUAGCUAGUUGGUAAGGUAACGGCUUACCAAGGCAACGAUGCAUAGCCGACCUGAGAGGGUGAUCGGCCACACUGGAACUGAGACACGGUCCAGACUCCUACGGGAGGCAGCAGUAGGGAAUCUUCCGCAAUGGGCGAAAGCCUGACGGAGCAACGCCGCGUGAGUGAUGAAGGUCUUCGGAUCGUAAAACUCUGUUAUUAGGGAAGAACAUAUGUGUAAGUAACUGUGCACAUCUUGACGGUACCUAAUCAGAAAGCCACGGCUAACUACGUGCCAGCAGCCGCGGUAAUACGUAGGUGGCAAGCGUUAUCCGGAAUUAUUGGGCGUAAAGCGCGCGUAGGCGGUUUUUUAAGUCUGAUGUGAAAGCCCACGGCUCAACCGUGGAGGGUCAUUGGAAACUGGAAAACUUGAGUGCAGAAGAGGAAAGUGGAAUUCCAUGUGUAGCGGUGAAAUGCGCAGAGAUAUGGAGGAACACCAGUGGCGAAGGCGACUUUCUGGUCUGUAACUGACGCUGAUGUGCGAAAGCGUGGGGAUCAAACAGGAUUUAGAUACCCUGGUAGUCCACGCCGUAAACGAUGAGUGCUAAGUGUUAGGGGGUUUCCGGCCCCCUUAGUGCUGCAGCUAACGCAUUUAAGCACUCCGCCUGGGGAGUACGACCGCAAGGUUGAAACUCAAAGGAAUUGACGGGGACCCGCACAAGCGGUGGAGCAUGUGGUUUAAUUCGAAGCAACGCGAAGAACCUUACCAAAUCUUGACAUCCUUUGACAACUCUAGAGAUAGAGCUUUCCCCUUCGGGGGACAAAGUGACAGGUGGUGCAUGGUUGUCGUCAGCUCGUGUCGUGAGAUGUUGGGUUAAGUCCCGCAACGAGCGCAACCCUUAAGCUUAGUUGCCAUCAUUAAGUUGGGCACUCUAAGUUGACUGCCGGUGACAAACCGGAGGAAGGUGGGGAUGACGUCAAAUCAUCAUGCCCCUUAUGAUUUGGGCUACACACGUGCUACAAUGGACAAUACAAAGGGCAGCGAAACCGCGAGGUCAAGCAAAUCCCAUAAAGUUGUUCUCAGUUCGGAUUGUAGUCUGCAACUCGACUACAUGAAGCUGGAAUCGCUAGUAAUCGUAGAUCAGCAUGGUACGUUGAAAACGUUCCCCGGUGUUGUUCACCCCGGCCC
rnacentral:rRNA from 1 species